GAUGAACGCUGGCGGCGUGCUUAACACAUGCAAGUCGAACGAGGAUUUAACGGAAUGCGAUUCGUCAAAUGAAAUUAAAUCCGAGUGGCGGACGGGUGAGUAACGCGUGGAUAACCUGCCUCACACAGGGGGACAACAGUUGGAAACGACUGCUAAUACCGCAUAACACAAGUAAUUCGCAUGAAUAACUUGCCAAAGAUUAUAUCGGUGUGAGAUGGAUCCGCGUCUGAUUAGCCAGUUGGCGGGGUAACGGCCCACCAAAGCGACGAUCAGUAGCCGACCUGAGAGGGUGACCGGCCACAUUGGGACUGAGACACGGCCCAAAAUCCUAACGGGAGGCAGCAGUGGGGAAUAUU
rnacentral:rRNA from 1 species